rnacentral:rRNA from 1 species
CCGUUGAAAAGGGUGGCGAUGAGGUGUGGAUAGGGGAGAAAUUCCAAUCGAACCCGGAGAUAGCUGGUUCUCCUCGAAAUAGCUUUAGGGCUAGCCUCGGCACAGAUUCAUGGAGGUAGAGCACUGAAUUUCCUAGGGGGCGUCAAAGCCUACCGAAGAAUAUCAAACUCCGAAUGCCAUAGAAUCGAUUGCCGGGAGUCAGACUAUACGAGAUAAGUUGGAUAGUCAAAAGGGAAAGAGCCCAGACCUCCAGCUAAGGUCCCAAAGUGCGUGUUAAGUGGAAAAGGAUGUGGGAUUUCAAAGACAACCAGGAUGUUGGCUCAGAAGCAGCCACACAUUCAAAGAGUGCGUAAUAGCUCACUGGUCGAGAGGUCCUGCGCCGAAAAUGUCCGGGGCUGAAACACGACACCGAAGCUGAGGAAUGCAAAGGAAUCUUAUUGGACUUGUCCAAUAAGCCUGCAUUGGUAGAGGAGCAUUGCAUGUGGGAAGAAGCAGUACCGUAAGGAGCUGUGGACUGCAUGGAAGAGAGAAUGCCGGAAUGAGUAGCGAGAACAAGGUGAGAAUCCUUGUGGCCGAAUAUCUAAGGUUUCCAGGGUAAAGCUGAUCUGCCCUGGGUAAGUCGGGGCCUAAGGCGAGGGCGAGAGCCGUAGCCGAUGGACAACAGGUUGAGAUUCCUGUACUGCGAUAUGACAGAACUGUGGGGACACGUGUGGAGAGCACAACCCGGGAAUGGUAUCCCGGGGCAAGCGGGGUAGGAGUCACAUAGGAAAAACCGUGUGGCGAUCCGAAGACGUGAUGCGGACCGAACUAAAGUAGGGAAGUGUGUGAGCCAUGCGUCAAGAAAAGCCGCUAUUGUUCAUAUCGUACCCGUACCGUAAACCGACACAGGUGGAUGAGGAGAGAAUCCUAAGGCCGACGGAAGAAGCAUUGCCAAGGAACUCGGCAAAAUGACCCCGUAACUUCGGGAGAAGGGGUGCCAGGGAGACCUGGCCGCAGAGAAUAGGCUCAAGCAACUGUUUAGCAAAAACACAGGUCUAUGCGAAACCGAAAGGUGAGGUAUAUGGGCUGACGCCUGCCCGGUGCUGGA